AUCGAACGCUGGCGGCAGGCCUAACACAUGCAAGUCGAGCGGAUGAGAGGAGCUUGCUUCUCGAUUCAGCGGCGGACGGGUGAGUAAUGCCUAGGAAUCUGCCUGGUAGUGGGGGACAACGUUUCGAAAGGAACGCUAAUACCGCAUACGUCCUACGGGAGAAAGCAGGGGACCUUCGGGCCUUGCGCUAUCAGAUGAGCCUAGGUCGGAUUAGCUAGUUGGUGAGGUAAUGGCUCACCAAGGCGACGAUCCGUAACUGGUCUGAGAGGAUGAUCAGUCAUACUGGAACUGAGACACGGUCCAGACUCCUACGGGAGGCAGCAGUGGGGAAUAUUGGACAAUGGGCGAAAGCCUGAUCCAGCCAUGCCGCGUGUGUGAAGAAGGUCUUCGGAUUGUAAAGCACUUUAAGUUGGGAGGAAGGGUUGUAGAUUAAUACUCUGCAAUUUUGACGUUACCGACAGAAUAAGCACCGGCUAACUCUGUGCCAGCCGCCGCGGUAAGAC
rnacentral:rRNA from 1 species